rnacentral:rRNA from 1 species
UACGGAGGGUGCGAGCGUUGUCCGGAAUCACUGGGCGUAAAGGGCGCGUAGGUGGCGCGAGUAGUCAACGGUGAAAGCCCGGGGCUCAACCCCGGGUCGGCCGUCGAUACUCUCGUGCUUGAGCACUGUAGAGGCAGGUGGAGUUCCGGGUGUAGCGGUGGAAUGCGUAGAGAUCCGGAAGAACACCGGUGGCGAAGGCGGCCUGCUGGGCAGUAGCUGACACUGAGGCGCGACAGCGUGGGGAGCAAACAGG